rnacentral:rRNA from 1 species
AUGUCGAAGUUGCAGCUGCCGGCGGACGACAGCGUGACGCUGCGCGUCACGCACUCCAACCUCGCCUCCUUCGCCUCCGACAUCCGCGUCUCCCAGCAGACCACGGUGGAGGCGCUCAAGGACAAGCUGUGGAAGAAGACGGGCACGGCCGUGGGCUCCAUGCGGCUGGAGCUCCGCGACGAGGCCGGCGCCAGGGUCGCCGACCUCGACCGCGACGCCGCGCCCCUCGCCGCCUACUCCCCCUACGACGGGUACCGGCUGCACAUCAUCGACCUCGACCCCUCCUCGGUGACCUCCGGCGGGUGGCUGGAGGACACCUCGCUCGUCGAGAAGUACACCAUAUCGGACGAAGCGUACAACAAACUCGGCACAAACUUCCGGAAGUUCAAAGAGAAGAUGGUGUCGAAAACCCCUGUAUCGGAUGAUAAGCAAUCAGACAAUCAGAUGGAGGAAUUGUGUGCCAAUAUCAAGGUGGGAGAUAGAUGUGAAGUUGAGCCAGGUGCCAAGAGGGGCACAGUGAAAUUCGUUGCCAAAGCUGAAGCCCUUGGGCGUGGAUUUUGGGUUGGAGUGCAAUACGAUGAGCCACUUGGAAAGCACGAUGGCAUGGUGAAAGGCGUCCGCUUCUUCGAGUGCCCUCAAGGGCAUGGGGCGAUUGUUAGGCCAGAGAAAGUGAAGGUUGGCGACUUUCCGGAGAGGGACCCAUUUGAUGAUGAAGAAGAUGAGAUAUAG